ACGGUCCCGUGGAGGGCGCCGGCCUCGUCCGGCUCGCGAUCGGGCUGGCCGAGGCGCUGGAGUCGAUCCACGCGGCCGGGGUCGUGC
rnacentral:tRNA from 1 species